rnacentral:tRNA from 1 species
AAACAAAAUGACAGAUUUAAUGUGAUAAAUUGUAAAUUUAUUUAUGAUUCUAUAUUCUUUUGUUUUUU